AGGAUAAACGCUGGCGGCGUGCCUAACACAUGCAAGUCGAACGUCUCUUCUUUCGGGAAGAGGAGUGGCGGACGGGUGAGGAACACGUGGGAACCUGCCCUUUAGUGAGGAAUACCGGCGAGAAAUCGCCGACAAGACCGCAUAGCCCUCUUUGAUGAGAGUCAAAGAAGGAAAGCUUCGCAAGAGGCGCUAGAGGAGGGGCCUGCGUCCGAUUAGCUAGUUGGUGGGGUAAGAGCCUACCAAGGCGUCGAUCGGUAGCUGGUCUGAGAGGACGAUCAGCCACACUGGGAUUGAGAACGGCCCAGACUCCUACGGGGGGCAGCAGUGAGGAAUUUUCGGCAAUGGGGGAAACCCUGACCGAGCAACGCCGCGUGCAGGAAGACGGCCUUCGGUUGUAACUGCUUUUCUUUGGGACGAGAACGGACGGUACCAGAGGAAUCAGCCCGGCUCACUACGUGCCAGCAGCCGC
rnacentral:rRNA from 1 species